rnacentral:rRNA from 1 species
GACGUAGGGCGCGAGCGUUGUUCGGAAUUACUGGGCGUAAAGGGCGCGUAGGCGGCCUGCUAAGUCGAACGUGAAAUCCCCGGGCUCAACCCGGGAACUGCGUCCGAUACUGGAAGGCUUGAAUCCGGGAGAGGGAUGCGGAAUUCCAGGUGUAGCGGUGAAAUGCGUAGAUAUCUGGAGGAACACCGGUGGCGAAGGCGGCAUCCUGGACCGGUAUUGACGCUGAGGCGCGAAAGCCAGGGGAGCAAAGCGGG